rnacentral:sRNA from 1 species
CAAGACAUCUAGGGAAACUAAAGAGAAAAUGCCCAGAAACUUUGUAGAGCUGCAAAUCAGAAGGAGCCCAUGAAUCUUAAUUUUAAAGUGAAAGAGGAGCCUAAGGAAGGGGAGUCCCUAAGCACGACUUUGCCUCGGUCCAGCUAUGUGUUCAGCCCGGAAUCUGAAGCGUCAGCCCCAGGCGUCUCUGAGGAGGCACUAAAGCCCCAGGAAGGGAAGGGAAGUGUGCUAAGGCGCGAUGUGUCAGUCAAAGCAGCCUCUGAACUUCUCAUGAAACUCUCAGCGGAAAGCUACAAGGAAACACAGAUGGUGAAGAUUAAAGAGGAACCCAUGGAGGUUGACAUCCAGGACUCCCACGUCUCAAUAUCACCCAGCCGGAAUGUUGGCUACAGCACUUUAAUCGGGCGAGAGAAAACUGAACCCUUACAGAAGAUGCCAGAGGGCAGAGUACCCCCAGAGAGAAACCUCUUCAGUCAGGAUAUCUCUGUGAAGAU